rnacentral:rRNA from 1 species
UACGUAGGUGGCAAGCGUUGUCCGGAUUUAUUGGGCGUAAAGGGAGCGCAGGCGGUGAUUUAAGUCUGAUGUGAAAGCCCACGGCUCAACCGUGGAAGGUCAUUGGAAACUGGAUCACUUGAGUGCAGAAGAGGAAAGUGGAAUUCCAUGUGUAGCGGUGAAAUGCGUAGAUAUAUGGAGGAACACCAGUGGCGAAGGCGACUUUCUGGUCUGUAACUGACGCUGAGGCUCGAAAGCCAGGGGAGCGAACGGG